GAUGAAGAACGUAGCGAAAUGCGAUACUUGGUGUGAAUUGCAGAAUCCCGUGAACCAUCGAGUCUUUGAACGCAAGUUGCGCCCGAAGCCAUUAGGCCGAGGGCACGCCUGCCUGGGCGUCACACGUCGUUGCCCCCCCAUCUAAUCCUUCGGGAUUGCGGGGGGCGGAUGAUGGCCUCCCGUGCGCCUCGCCGCGCGGUUGGCAUAAAUGCCAAGUCCUCGGCGACGCACGCCACGACAAUCGGUGGUUGCGAAACCUCGGUUGCCCGUCGUGUGCGGUCGUCGCGCAUCGAGGGCUCGAAAAAAUUGCCGGGUUCCGGCUCGGCUUUCAACGCGACCCCAGGUCAGGCGGGGUUACCCGCUGAAUUUAAGCAUAUCAAUAAGCGGAGGA
rnacentral:misc_RNA from 1 species